AAAAAAAACACUCAGACUACCAACAAGAAAAGAAAUGAAGCAAGAGCAGAGGGAAGAGGAUGUUUUUCCAAGGGUUGUUGACCCCCCUUUGCCGCUUAUGAUUUUCUCCUUCUGUCGCCAUCCCUAAUUUCUCAACAACCCUUUUUAUUCUAUAUCGAUACUCCGUAUUAUUAUUAUUAUUAUUUUUUAUCGAACGGCAAAUCUAUUCUACUACUACUAUACUCGUAUACCACCCCUAAUCAUUCAUGCCAGGUAACCUGAUAUUGGCAUAUGGGAGGUGAUAUCCGUACCAUAGUAUUUGUCACAGGGACGAUUUGUGCAAUUUACUCUUUAUCUUUAAGGGAAGUGAUAUAUUUACCACGAUUAUAUAGUUCUACACUCUACUGUAUAAUUUUGAUAACAGGCAAGGCAGGGGCAGUGAUGAUAAAUGUGUCUCUAUAUGUUGGUCGUCUGAGUGUUUGUGGGGUCAAACAUUGAGAUUUAGCCGUAUCUUGGCGGGGCAUUCAUUUGCAGCCAUGGCGGUUUUAUCCUUGUUUUUGUACCCACUGUUUUUACAGAUCUGAGCCCUCCGUAUUAUUAUUUUUAAUGAAAUGGUUUUCAUAUAAUCUGUAUAAUUUAGUAAUAUAUGUUGCUUUUUUAUUUUAUCUAUAACAACUAUUGAUGAAGUUUGUUUGUUUGAAAGCAUGACAAAAGGAUUAUGAGAUAACAGUAUAGGUGUUGGUGAUUAAAGUGGUUGUUAUUGUGACUUUUUGGGACUUUUCUUUUUAUAGCCACUCGAAUUGACUUAUUUGAGGAACUGGUUUGGAAUUGCCGUUUUUUCCAUUGAGUCGUCUUGAGUAGAAAUCGAGUUGGUCAAUGUUUUAACUAUAGAUGAAUUUGUUGGUUCUCAUUAUAUGAGGCAGGGGACGAGCCUUGUGGCUAUGAUACAUCAUACAUACAUUGCUUAAAUUAUUGAUGGACUCCCUGAGAAGACUUGUAACCAUGUGAUGGUGUGUGAACAUUCAUCGAUAUCUUGCAAACUGACAUGGCAUUGGAGAAGAGACGUAAGAAGGGGUCGAGUAGAAGAAGAAUUGCAAUCGCUGUCUGAUAUGUUCAAAGAAAUACAUCUUAGAGUUGGGGAUGAUAAAUGGAGCGAGGCCAACGACCUAACUGGAGUUUUCUCGGUGGCUUUCCCCAGGAAGCAAAUUGAUUCAUUUUACCUCCUGACUCGGCUUCCACCAACUGACUAGAAACAUUGUGCCGAGCAAACAUCACUUUCCGAGGUUAAUAAGUUGGAAAUGUUCCAUGGAAAUGCACUGGAUGGAUAUCGAUACAGUGCCAUGAUCUAACUGUAACGUCUUUCCAGAAGGUAUUUGCCAUAUUUUGUUGUACAUGCAGGUACUCAAAAUGCAUGGAAUGGAAUUCUUUCAUGAUGUAAUAUUGACAGGAGGACAGCAUAAUCCAGGGAACAGUCUAGGGAAGGGAUAUUAAUCAACGGUGGUCGUCGCCUUCUUAUGAGUUUCCAUAAUUUUUUCCUUGCAGAAUGGAGCUGAUCUGUAAGCACAAAACAUUAUAAUUAGAGAUGUGAUGGUAAGUUUCUACUUGUUUGAGUGAAUCAGUCCAAGUAGGAAGUUUAUUUGUCACAUCAUUUUGCUUUACUUAUUCAGUUUUACUAAAAUUCAAUCUCCUUAAGGGCAAGUUUUUUAUUUUUUUUUCCCCACUCGUAUCAAUAUAGUAUGCAUUACAAUACACGUUGUUGUCUGUCCCAUUUCGUGUUGGGUACUGUUUGAUCAUUAAGAAUUUGCCCUCUUUCUACCGUAA